AUCAGUGGACCGACGCAAACUCCAGAAACUCCAGAAUCAAAUCAGCUGUUAUGGAUUUUUGCUCUUGUUAUCAUCGUUCUUCUCAUCAUAUUCUUGAUCUGUUUCUUGGUGCGGAAAAGGAAAACCAGAUGUUUUCAGAGGGAAGGCACAGAACAACUUUGAAAACAGGGAUCUUCAAUCUGCUGUGCAAAUGAUCUGAUGAUCCUCACUGACUGCACUUCAACAGCUCCGUCUCCAGUGUUUCAUCACAUCAAUCAUUGAAUGCUGUUCAGUCUGUUACUUUUGUGCAGAGACAGAUUAUGUUACGGCCAGACAUAAAGGGGGCAAUACAAAAAGCCUCAGUUUAUAGGGGAAUUUAUGCAUAACAUAAACAGUGUUGGAAAGGUUACUUUGGAAAUGUACAGAUUACAAGUUACUUGAUUUAAAAUUUAAUAAGCAGUGUAACUUUUUAUGCCUUUUAUUGUGAUAGGACAGUAGAGAAAUGACCUCAAGAUGGGAUUCGAACUCAGUAGCGCAAUUGCACUAUAUGUCGACGCACUAACCGUGAGGCUAGUGGAGCUGACGCCACUUAACAGCUCUUAUUUAGUUUGAGCUCAUUGUGAGGUUCAAUACAGUUUGAAAUUAUAACAAGAAAUAGUUUAAUAGCUGUGGGUUUGAAAUCAAAUGUUUGCAUAGUUAUGACAGAAAACACU